rnacentral:rRNA from 1 species
ACUAGAGAUUAAUUUGAUCCUGGCUCAGAAUCCCGCNGGGUACGUGCCUAACACAUGCAAGUCGAUCGCGAAGAUCCCGCAAGGGAUUUGUAGCGUGGCAAACGGGUGAGUAACACGUGGGUGACCUGCCUUCGAGCGGGGGAUAACGUUCCGAAAGGGACGCUAAUACCGCAUGACAUCCUGCUUUUGAACAAGUGGAGAUCAAAGCCGGGGAUCGCAAGACCUGGCACUCGAAGAGGGGCCCGCGCCUGAUUAGCUAGUUGGUGAGGUAACGGCUCACCAAGGCAACGAUCAGUAUCCGGCCUGAGAGGGCGGACGGACACACUGGGACUGAGACACGGCCCAGGCUCCUACGGGAGGCAGCAGUGGGGAAUUGUUCGCAAUGGGCGCAAGCCUGACGACGCAACGCCGCGUGGAGGAUGAAGAUCUUCGGGUCGUAAACUCCUUUCGAUCGAGACGAACGGCUUCCGUGCUAAUCAACGGGAGAGUGACGGUACCGAGAGAAGAAGCCCCGGCUAACUCCGUGCCAGCAGCCGCGGUAAUACGGGGGGGGCAAGCGUUGUUCCGGAAUUAACUCUGGG